rnacentral:rRNA from 1 species
UACCAGCACCCCGAGUGGUCGGGACGAUUAUUGAGCCUAAAGCAUCCGUAGCCGGUUCUGCAAGUCCCCCGCUAAAUCCAGCUGCUCAACAGAUGGGCCGCGGAGGAUACUACAGAGCUAGGAGGCAGGAGAGGCAAGCGGUACUCAGUGGGUAGGGGUAAAAUCCGUUGAUCCAUUGAAGACCACCAGUGGCGAAGGCGGCUUGCCAGAAUGCGCUCGACGGUGAGGGAUGAAAGCUGGGGGAGCAAACCGG